UCGUAACAGGUUUCCGUAGUGAACCUGCGGAAGGAUCAUUAUUGAAUUGGGUUGCUGCUGGCUCUCUCAAGGAAAGCAUGUGCACACCCCUGUCAUCUUUAUAUUUCCACCUGUGCACCAUUUGUAGACUUUUGUCUAUGUUGCUUCAUAUACACAUGUUAAUAAAGAAUGUUGUGAUUUUAAUUUAUACAACUUUCAGCAACGGAUCUCUUGGCUCUCGCAUCGAUGAAGAACGCAGCGAAAUGCGAUAAGUAAUGUGAAUUGCAGAAUUCAGUGAAUCAUCGAAUCUUUGAACGCAUCUUGCGCUCCUUGGUAUUCCGAGGAGCAUGCCUGUUUGAGUGUCAUCAUUAACCUAUCAAACCUUUUUUAUAUAUGGUUUGGAUGUGGAGGAUUUUAUUUUUGCUGGGCCCCCCUUGUAAAGGGGUUCAGCUCCUCUGAAAUGCAUUAGCAGAAUGAUCUGUCCCAUUCAUUGGUGUGAUAACUAAUCUAUGCUAUUGGAUGGGUGAGGCAGUUCAGAUAUAUACAUUUUAUGUGACCUCAAAUCAGGUAGGACUACCCGCUGAACUUAA
rnacentral:rRNA from 1 species